AGUCGUAACAAGGUCUCCGUAGGUGAACCUGCGGAGGGAUCAUUACACAAAUAUGAAGGCGGGCUGGAACCUCUCGGGGUUACAGCCUUGCUGAAUUAUUCACCCUUGUCUUUUGCGUACUUCUUGUUUCCUUGGUGGGUUCGCCCACCACUAGGACAAACAUAAACCUUUUGUAAUUGCAAUCAGCGUCAGUAACAAAUUAAUAAUUACAACUUUCAACAACGGAUCUCUGGUUCUGGCAUCGAUGAAGAACGCAGCGAAAUGCGAUAAGUAGUGUGAAUUGCAGAAUUCAGUGAAUCAUCGAAUCUUUGAACGCACAUUGCGCCCUUUGGUAUUCCAAAGGGCAUGCCUGUUCGAGCGUCAUUUGUACCCUCAAGCUUUGCUUGGUGUUGGGCGUCUUGUCUCUAGCUUUGCUGGAGACUCGCCUUAAAGUAAUUGGCAGCCGGCCUACUGGUUUCGGAGCGCAGCACAAGUCGCACUCUCUAUCAGCAAAGGUCUAGCAUCCAUUAAGCCUUUUUUUUCAACUUUUGACCUCGGAUCAGGUAGGGAUACCCGCUGAACUUAAGCAUAUCAAUAAGUCG
rnacentral:rRNA from 1 species